AUAUACUUUUAUUGAGGAUGAAGAUUGGACAAUAUUUGUCAAAGAUAGAUUGUCUGACAACUUUAAGGUUAGAAAAUGUGAGCUGGCCAUAGGCACCAAGGAAAAUAUAGUGGCAGGUGGAACAAUUAUACUUGAAUGUGGUCCCAACUAUUUAGUAGUUGUUGAUGCUCCUUAUGAUUCAAGUGCACCCCUUCCCAUUCCUAUUCUUAGACAAACUACUACUGUUGGGGCUGCAAUUGGUUACCAAGUUUUGUGGCCAACUGAUUUGGUCAUCAUCCGUACUCCCAUCUUAGUAAGUAAAUUUAAUUACCAAACUUUA